GACGAACGCUGGCGGCGUGCUUAACACAUGCAAGUCGAACGGAAAGGCCCUGCUUGCCGGGUACUCGAGUGGCGAACGGGUGAGUAACACGUGGGUGAUCUGCCCUGCACUUCGGGAUAAGCUUGGGAAACUGGGUCUAAUACCUGAUAGGACCGCACUUUAGCGUGUGUGGUGGAAAGUUUUUUCGGUGUAGGAUGAGCUCGCGGCCUAUCAGCUUGUUGGUGGGGUAAUGGCCUACCAAGGCGGCGACGGGUAGCCGGCCUGAGAGGGUGUACGGCCACAUUGGGACUGAGAGACGGCCCAGACUCCGACGGGAGGCAGCAGUGGGGAAGAUUGAACAAUGGGCGCAAGCCGGAUGCAGCGACGCCGCGUGGGGGAUGAAGGCCUUAGGGUUGUAAAAUCCUUUCGCUAGGGACGAAGCUUUUUGUGACGGUACCUAGAUAAGAAGCACCGGCUAACUACGUG
rnacentral:rRNA from 1 species